UAUGUGAUCGUCUCUCGCAUAUCAAUAAGCGGAGGAAAAGAAACUAACAAGGAUUCCCCUAGUAACGGCGAGUGAAGCGGGAAGAGCUCAAAUUUGAAAUCUUAAAGGGUUUCCCUUUACGAAUUGUAGUUUAAAGAAGUGUUUUCUGUUGAGGUUUUGGUAAAAGUUCUUUGGAAUAGGACAUCAUAGAGGGUGAGAAUCCCGUAUUUGACCUUUACUUUCAACUUUGUGAUACACUUUCAAAGAGUCGGAUUGUUUGGGAAUGCAGUCCAAAAUGGGUGGUAAAUUUCAUCUAAAGCUAAAUAUUGGCGAGAGACCGAUAGCGAACAAGUACCGUGAGGGAAAGAUGAAAAGAACUUUGAAAAGAGAGUUAAACAGUACGUGAAAUUGAUCAAAAGGGAAGCGUUUGACACCAGUGUUGUUUUUCUGAAAAUCAAUUAAAGAACUGUUUAUGCUAAGUUGUUUAGACUUUAUCAGCUAAUCUGCUUAGUUUUGAGCUUUUCUUUAAUGCACUUUUCAGUUAACAAGUCAACAUCAAUUUCUUUUGCUGUAAAAAAGCUUGAGGAGGGUGGCUUGAGAUUCGUCUUAAGUGUUUAUAGCCUCUUGCCUAUGCAGUCGGAGAGAUUGAGGUCUGCAGCGUAGAUCCUUCGGGGCUAAAUGCAUUUGUGCUAAGUUAUAGCAUUUUAUAGACAACUUGUUGACUAUGAUUUGUCUUGUAGCUUACUCGCUUAUGUUAUUUUACCUACGCUUAGGAUGUUGAUCUACAGAGCGAGAGU
rnacentral:rRNA from 1 species